rnacentral:rRNA from 1 species
UACGAGAGGCCCAAACGUUAUUCGGAAUUACUGGGCUUAAAGAGUUCGUAGGCGGCGCAGAAAGUAGGGUGUGAAAGCCCUCGCUUAACCGAGGAAUUGCGCCCUAAACUACUGUGCUUGAGGAACCUAGAGGUGAGCAGAACAGAUGGUGGAGCGGUGAAAUGCGUUGAUAUCAUCUGGAAUACCGGAGGCGAAGGCGGCUCACUGGGGGUUUUCUGACGCUGAGGAACGAAAGCCAGGGUAGCAAACGGG